GGGGCCGAUGGGAAGCGUAGGCCGCGCGCGGCUCGCCGCCGUCCCGCUGCCGGGCUGCGGGCGGUAAUUCUAAAAACCCCCUCGAAUCUGGAACGUCCUGAACGCUCAGAAUUCCGGCCCGCGCCUCACCACGAUCCCCCACCGCACGCACUGGGCCCGCAGCUGGCGCAGCCCAGGUUCGGAGCACCCACGCGCAGGGUUGGGGCCUAGGGGCUGCCUGCGCCCCACAGGCAGGAUCCCUGACGGGGCUGCCCGGCCUCGCUCCGCUUUGACCUUCAGCUUCGUCACAGCUCCGGGUGACGCCGAUCCGCGCCCCGCACAAGUGCCACACAGCUGCCGCUGCUGCCAGCCAAACCCAGCUCCCCUCGGGCGGCACGACAGCUCCGUUUGGCUCCGUGCUCUCAGCCUGACCUCGGCCUUCCCCUCGCUGCCCCCACGGCAGGAAUGCAGUCCUGCCAGGAACCGGGCGCUCCACAGCAUCACCGCCUGCCUGCGAAGGGAAGCAGCUACAGCAGUGCGCAGCCGAGCCUGGCACAGGGACGGCCUCACCGCGGGGAGUCGGCAUUAAAGCACCAGAACUCAAAGCUGUGCUGUUCAACUGCAGGGUUAGAGUUCUGCUAACCAAGGAAAGCCUAACCAGGAGCAGAGAUCUCUAGCCCAACAGUCUGCUACAGAUCUGGAUUUCCUUGCAGAACAGUCAGAUUUCAUCAGCCACCCUGAUUUGGAGAUGAUGUAGCAAGAAUUUCUGUGCAGUAAUACAACUUUGCCCCUUGCCACGGAUCUUUUUAUAGCCCUUCCAGUUUUCAUUUUCCAUUCAAAAAUAGCACUGCGCCGUGUCCCCCAGCUCACCCAGCUGCUCCCAGGGGGCUCAGCACAGACCUGCACCCCGAGUCGUGUCCCAGCUGACAAUGUCCCUGCAGGCUUUUGGCAGACAGCCCCAACUCUGCUCCACCAGCAGAGGGGCAACCAGUCGCUCAAGCAGUGCCACUGCUACCUCUGAGCUUCCCCACACAAACAAGUGGAGUUCUCAGUGAUGAUUUCAGUGCUGUCCUGUGAAACUCUCUGAAGACCUCCUCUCCUACAAAGCACCAGGAGCCAUAGAGCUCUACCUAUGGUAACUGUAUAAGUAACAUACCUGAUUGUUACUUUCUUUACUCCACUCUCCCACAUUCAUUGCCUCGACCUAUUAACCCUCGGGAUUUGCUUUGAAUCCCUAAGGCAGAUACAAUCUCUCAGCUUCAGGGGCAUUCACAGCAAGUACAACUGCCUAUACACAACAGCACAUGUGCUAGAGCACAUGAAAGGAAACUUCUGAGCAUACAAAGACACCAGACCAGUUUGGUAAACAUCAUGAAAGCAGCGGCCACCAAGAGACACAGCAACAAGAGCCCCCUGCUGAUACCACUCCUGGAUACAACUGCAUUCCUUCCACGUCCUGGUUCACAACUUCACUAGAUGUUCUAACAAAAAGCAGGAAUCUCAAACAGCAGUGGCCACUGAGCCUUCAGAAGAUACAAGACUCAUCUGUGGACUCAUCUAUAUUUAGCUUUGAACCAGACAAGCUGCGACAACAAGAGACCUUUGCCGUGUUCACUGCUCUUCUAAUAUCCCUCUUCAGCAUUAGAGAAAGUGUCCAGUCAUGGUAACAAAGGCACCGCUCAGCUGUGACAGGCAGAACUUCCCAGCUGGUGAUUAUUCUGGAAAUGCUUGCCAGAAAGGGCAGAAAAAGAGCAAAGCCUUUAAACAGAGCCACAUGCAGGUAAUUAGCACUGAGGCUGGAAGAGCUCAGGGACCUUCCUGUCCCACUAACAGCUCCUGAGCUACAAACCUGCAUUUUCUCUGUCAUAGGUCAGUUUUAAUGUGCCUGAAACAAGCAGGACGUGAACAUGCUGCUCACUAGAAGAGCUGACUGAUCCGUGUAAGAAGUAACAUUACUUGUUUGAAAACCACAUUAACGAUUUCGGUUGAGUCAUUUGAUGGAGACACUCAUAAUUGCAGGGACGACGUGCGUUGUUUGUUCUCACGUUGGAGUCUCCUGCACAGGGCAGAGUCACCUCUCGAGGUCACAUUUCUAUUGCUGCUCAUGCUGGGGGAGAAUUGAUUGAUUCUGUUGUGAAGGUAAGGGACACGUACUGCUAUUGACAUAGUAAUAUGGCAUUCUGAAUCAA